AACGAACGCUGGCGGCAGGCUUUACAGAUGCAAGUCGAGCGCGCCUUCGGGUGAGCGGCGGACGGGUUAGUAACGCGUGGGAACGUGCCCUUCUCUACGGAAUAGCCUCUGGAAACGGAGAGUAAUACCGUAUACGCCCUUUGGGGGAAAGAUUUAUCGGAGAAGGAUCGGCCCGCGUUAGAUUAGGUAGUUGGUGGGGUAACGGCCUACCAAGCCUACGAUCUAUAGCUGGUUUUAGAGGAUGAUCAGCAACACUGGGACUGAGACACGGCCCAGACUCCUACGGGAGGCAGCAGUGGGGAAUCUUAGACAAUGGGGGCAACCCUGAUCUAGCCAUGCCGCGUGAGUGAUGAAGGCCUUAGGGUCGUAAAGCUCUUUCGCCUGUGAUGAUAAUGACAGUAGCAGGUAAAGAAACCCCGGCUAACUCCGUG
rnacentral:rRNA from 1 species